CAAAAUGCUGGUUCCCCAGAACUGGAGCUUCAAAGGACUCCAUCUCAGGAUGUCACAAUGCUUCUUCAGAAACUACUCGUCCAUUACAGGGGCCAGGCCUGUGAGGCAGCUGCUCUCCCUCUGAAGACAAUGGAAUCUGGGCUAACCCAUGUGUGGGAGAUUUAAAGCACUCCUCUCCAGCAACAAGCAUUCUUCUUCUGAAACCUCCAUCUACUGCAGGGCGCCUGGGUGGCUCAGUUGGUUAAGCGACUGCCUUUGGCUCA